AGCGAACGCUGGCGGCAGGCUUAAUACAUGCAAGUCGAGGGGCAGCACAGGUAGCAAUACUGGGUGGCGACCGGCAAACGGGUGCGGAACACGUACACAACUUACCUUCUGGUGGGGGAUAGCCUUUGGAAACGGAGAUUAAUACCCCAUAUUAUAUAUGAGCUGCAUGGUUUGUAUAUUAAAGAUUUAUUGCCGGAAGAUGGGUGUGCGUAUGAUUAGGUAGUUGGCGGGGUAACGGCCCACCAAGCCGACGAUCAUUAACUGGUGUGAGAGCACGACCAGUCACACGGGCACUGAGAAACGGGCCCGACUCCUACGGGAGGCAGCAGUAAGGAAUAUUGGUCAAUGGACGGAAGUCUGAACCAGCCAUGCCGCGUGGAGGAUGAAGGUCCUCUGGAUUGUAAACUUCUUUUAUAGGGGGCGAAAAAAGGGAAUUCUUUCUCGUCUGACGGUACCCUAUGAAUAAGCACCGGCUAACUCCGUGCCAGCCGCCGCGGUAACAC
rnacentral:rRNA from 1 species